CGAACGGUAACAGGAAGCAGCUUGCUGCUUCGCUGACGAGUGGCGGACGGGUGAGUAAUGUCUGGGAAGCUGCCUGAUGGAGGGGGAUAACUACUGGAAACGGUAGCUAAUACCGCAUAAUGUCGCAAGACCAAAGAGGGGGACCUUCGGGCCUCUUGCCAUCGGAUGUGCCCAGAUGGGAUUAGCUUGUUGGUGGGGUAACGGCUCACCAAGGCGACGAUCCCUAGCUGGUCUGAGAGGAUGACCAGCCACACUGGAACUGAGACACGGUCCAGACUCCUACGGGAGGCAGCAGUGGGGAAUAUUGCACAAUGGGCGCAAGCCUGAUGCAGCCAUGCCGCGUGUAUGAAGAAGGCCUUCGGGUUGUAAAGUACUUUCAGCGGGGAGGAAGGGAGUAAAGUUAAUACCUUUGCUCAUUGACGUUACCCGCAGAAGAAGCACCGGCUAACUCCGUGCCAGCAGCCGCGGUAAUACGGAGGGUGCAAGCGUUAAUCGGAAUUACUGGGCGUAAAGCGCACGCAGGCGGUUUGUUAAGUCAGAUGUGAAAUCCCCGGGCACAACCUGGGAACUGCAUCUGAUACUGGCAAGCUUGAGUCUCGUAGAGGGGGGUAGAAUUCCAGGUGUAGCGGUGAAAUGCGUAGAGAUCUGGAGGAAUACCGGUGGCGAAGGCGGCCCCCUGGACGAAGACUGACGCUCAGGUGCGAAAGCGUGGGGAGCAAACAGGAUUAGAUACCCUGGUAGUCCACGCCGUAAACGAUGUCGACUUGGAGGUUGUGCCCUUGAGGCGUGGCUUCCGGAGCUAACGCGUUAAGUCGACCGCCUGGGGAGUACGGCCGCAAGGUUAAAACUCAAAUGAAUUGACGGGGGCCCGCACAAGCGGUGGAGCAUGUGGUUUAAUUCGAUGCAACGCGAAGAACCUUACCUGGUCUUGACAUCCACGGAAGUUUUCAGAGAUGAGAAUGUGCCUUCGGGAACCGUGAGACAGGUGCUGCAUGGCUGUCGUCAGCUCGUGUUGUGAAAUGUUGGGUUAAGUCCCGCAACGAGCGCAACCCUUAUCCUUUGUUGCCAGCGGUCCGGCCGGGAACUCAAAGGAGACUGCCAGUGAUAAACUGGAGGAAGGUGGGGAUGACGUCAAGUCAUCAUGGCCCUUACGACCAGGGCUACACACGUGCUACAAUGGCGCAUACAAAGAGAAGCGACCUCGCGAGAGCAAGCGGACCUCAUAAAGUGCGUCGUAGUCCGGAUUGGAGUCUGCAACUCGACUCCAUGAAGUCGGAAUCGCUAGUAAUCGUGGAUCAGAAUGCCACGGUGAAUACGUUCCCGGGCCUUGUACACACCGCCCGUCACACCAUGGGAGUGGGUUGCAAAAGAAGUAGGUAGCUUAACCUUCGGGAGGGCGCUUACCACUUUGUGAUUCAUGACUGGGGUGAAGUCGUAACAAGGUA
rnacentral:rRNA from 1 species